UACAGAGGGGGCAAGCGUUGUUCGGAAUUACUGGGCGUAAAGGGCGCGUAGGCGGCCUUCUAAGUCGAACGUGAAAUCCCCGGGCUCAACCCGGGAACUGCGUCCGAUACUGGAAGGCUUGAAUCCGGGAGAGGGAUGCGGAAUUCCAGGUGUAGCGGUGAAAUGCGUAGAUAUCUGGAGGAACACCGGUGGCGAAGGCGGUUCUCUGGGCCUGUACUGACGCUGAGGAGCGAAAGCGUGGGGAGCGAACAGG
rnacentral:rRNA from 1 species